GCUCUUCCUAUCAUUGUGAAG
rnacentral:snRNA from 1 species